GACGAACGCUGGCGGCGCGCCUAACACAUGCAAGUCGAACGAGCGAGCGAGAGCUUGCUUUCUCGAGCGAGUGGCGAACGGGUGAGUAACGCGUGAGGAACCUGCCUCAAAGAGGGGGACAACAGAUGGAAACGACUGCUAAUACCGCAUAAGCCCACGGGUCGGCAUCGACCAGAGGGAAAAGGAGCAAUCCGCUUUGAGAUGGCCUCGCGUCCGAUUAGCUAGUUGGUGAGGUAAUGGCCCACCAAGGCGACGAUCGGUAGCCGGACUGAGAGGUUGAACGGCCACAUUGGGACUGAGCCACGGCCCAGACUCCUACGGGAGGCAGCAGUGGGGAAUAUUGCACAAUGGGGGAAACCCUGAUGCAGCGACGCCGCGUGGAGGAAGAAGGUCUUCGGAUUGUAAACUCCUGUUGUUGGGGAAGAUAAUGACGGUACCCAACAAGGAAGUGACGGCUAACUACGUG
rnacentral:rRNA from 1 species